ACAAACUCAGAAAAUUUAGUGACUUGCCAUGAAUUGAGUAAGCAAAUGCAAAGUCAGCGUGAAGUCUUGGUCCCUCCAGAAGGACCCCUUGGCUUUUCUUUUUUCCAGUUUGCUUACGUCUGCACGAGCACUUGAAGCUGGAGGACAGCUUGGGAUGGUGCCUGGUCAACAGGAAAGCAGAGGCCAAGCAAAGGCCUCCGAGGAAGCUUGGAGCCAGAGCGAUGAUCUCCUGGAAACGACUCAGACAUGCUGUACAUGUUCUCACACCUCAUCGCCACAGGCAGAAGGGUGGUAACAGGUUGCUGCUUUCUGCUGAGGCAGGAGAGGGUGCCGAGAAGCAGACAGAGAGAAUAGAUGCCAAUCUCCAUUUGUACCUGCACAGCCUACACAUACAACACACACUCAAGAGCGAAUAAACAAAUGGAAUUAAAAAAAUAAUAACUCCUGAUCUUCCUGCCUGAAACUCUCAAACCCUGGGGUCACAGACAUAUGCCACCAUGCCUAGAUCAAGCCAUACAUCUUUCUGGACUCCACAAUUAAAGUAAUGAUUACCUUUUUUGGGCUACUGUUAUAAAUAUUUUGGAGUAUUCUUUCUUUCCUUCCUUCCUUCAAAUAUGUCUUCAUUUUCAUGCUGCCCCUGUCUCCUAAUGAAUGUUCCCCUGCCUGUGUUCUGAUGGUUGUGUUGCCUCCUGCUCUGUUAUUUUGUAUGGAGGGACACCUGGCAUAAGAGUGAGAAUCCAGCUACGUUUUGUCCUAUAACAAACAGCCUUAGGACACUGUGCCAAAUCUGGUCAUGGUGGCUCAUGCCUUUAAUCCCAGAGCGAGAAGGGAAGAGGCAGGCUAAUCUCUGAGUUCCAGGCUAGCCUGUGCACCAUGGUAAGACUUGUCUCGAACAAGCAAGUAGACAAACAAUAAAUACAGCACAGUUAAUGGUUUCCAGCUUUCACUUCAACUUCUUGUUAGUUUUCACUUGUGCAGAGAUGAAAGUUGUGAAAUAAACUUGUGUCACUAAA